rnacentral:rRNA from 1 species
AUGGCGCUCGCCUCCACCACCGCCUCCCGCCUCAUCAGCCGACGCCUCGUCGCUCCCCUCCCGCCUCCUCCUUCCUCUUCCUGCGCCGCGCCGCGAGGAGGAGCCAGGCCAGGGCCGCGCCGGUUCGCGGUGCGCUGGGAGGGCAGGCCGAGAGCGCUGUUGGGAGGAUUCUCGGACGCCGACGAAGAUGUCAGCGACGACGAGGACGAGGAGGACGGCCCCGGCGCGCUCAGCGGUGGGCCGCCGCGGCAGCAGCAGGGGUGCGAGGACGUCAUCGAGCUCGCCGCCGCUGCCUUCUCCGGGCCCGAGCGCUGGGACGUGCUCGGACUCGGCCAGGCCAUGGUUGACUUCUCAGGCAUGGUGGAUGAUAAAUUCCUCGAGCGACUGGGCAUAGAGAAGGGUACUAGAAAGGUCGUUAACCAUGAGGAGAGGGGACGGGUCUUGCGUGCCAUGGAUGGCUGCACCUACAAGGCCGCUGCUGGAGGCUCACUGUCCAACUCGCUCGUGGCUCUAGCAAGGCUUGGUAGUAGUCGGGCCAGCAGCUACCCUGAGCUUAGAAUAGCAAUGGCUGGCAGUGUGGGCAGUGACCCACUUGGUAGUUUCUAUAGGCAAAAGUUGCAUCGUGCGAAUGUGCAAUUCUUGUCCAAGCCGGUCAAAGAUGGGACUACUGGGACUGUGAUUGUUCUAACAACUCCAGAUGCACAGCGAACUAUGCUUGCAUACCAGGGUACAUCUUCAACUUUGGCUUAUGAUUCAGACUUGGCAGAGAUAGUAUCCAAGUCAAAUCUACUGAUAGUGGAAGGGUACCUAUUCGAAUUUAGUCAUACAAUUGAAGCCAUCAAGCAGGCAUGUGAAGAUGCUAAGAAGAAUGGUGCACUUAUUGCUGUUUCGGCAUCAGAUGUGUCAUGCAUCAAGCGUUGCCACAGUGAUUUUUGGGAUAUUGUAGGAAACUAUGCGGACAUAUUGUUCGCCAAUGCCAACGAAGCAAGGGCGUUCUGCGAGCUAACUUCAGAAGAGAGCACGGUGUCAGCUGCGAGAUACUUGAGCCAUUCUAUUCCUCUAGUAUCCGUUACCGAUGGUAUGCACGGUUCCUACAUCGGUGUGAAAGGUGAAGCAAUAUACAUCCCUCCACCGGCAUGUAUACCUGUGGACACCUGCGGAGCUGGUGAUGCAUACGCAUCAGGAAUCCUGUACGGUAUCCUCCGGGGUGCGUCAGACUUGAAGGGCAUUGGCCUGCUGGCUGCCCAGGUAGCUGCUGUUGUCGUCGGGCAGCAAGGCACACGCCUGAGGGUUAAGGAUGCUGACAGAUUGGCUGAAUCGUUCGAGUUCCACCUUGACAACUUGGAGUUCUGUUCAGAUGCUGGAACGGACCAGGUUCCCAACUUAUGA